GCCUGGGUGGCUCAGUCAGUUAAGCAUCUGACUUCGGCUUAGGUCAUGAUCUCAAGUUCAUGGGUUCGAGUCCCACAUCAGGCU
rnacentral:tRNA from 1 species